rnacentral:lncRNA from 1 species
GAACUGAAGACGAUCCUUCGAGAGCUAAAGUACAGAAUUGGCAUCCAGUCGGCCAAGUUACUUCGGCAUCUGAAGCAGAAAGAUAGGCUUCUGCAUAAAGUGCAGAGGAACUGUGAUAUUGUGACUGCCUGCUUGCAGGCUGUGUCACAGAAGAGAAACAGUCUCGUGCUGUUGCCAGGCUGGAAUGCUGGAAUGCAGUGGCGCAAUCCUGGCUCACUCAACCUCUGCCUCCCUGGUUCAAGUGAUUC